AUGUUGGAUGAAGAUUGCAGCACCAGGAUCUGGUGGAUUCGGGGAUGAUCCCCGACUGACGAGUCACGAAGACUCAGGUCGCCGACGACGAGGAUGCCCGGGCGUUCUCGGGGAUGGGCAGCACUCGGUCAGAGGGAGGAGGAGGCGCGCGGGAGAAUAGCUCGGGGGACGAGCUGCACUUUUCCUCAGGCGUUGUUGCCGCUGCACGGCGAGCAAAAAAAAACAUAUGCUUUUUUCUUUCAAUGACAGGUGAACCCCACAUGAUGAUAACAUUACCAAACGCCGCCGUUACAUAUGAGACAUUAAGCAGUGCCAUGUCAGUCUGACUAGUGGGCUCCAUCUAUCAUAAA